GCGAAAGCGAGUUUUAACUGAGCGUUCAGUUACUUGACGUAGACCCGAAACCGGGCGACCUACCCAUGAGCAGGAUGAAGCGAAAGUAAAAUUUCGUGGAGGUCCGAACCCACGAGCGUUGAAAAGCUCGGGGAUGACUUGUGGGUAGCGGUGAAAUUCCAAUCGAGCCCGGAGAUAGCUGGUUCUCCCCGAAAUAGCUUUAGGGCUAGCCUCAAGGUGAGAGAUACGGAGGUAGAGCACUGAAUGUCCUAGGGGGUAUUGCACCUACCGAAGACUAUCAAACUCCGAAUGCCGU
rnacentral:rRNA from 1 species